AUCAUGGCUCAUACUGUUGAAUCAGUUGCCUGGUAUCUCAUAUCAGGGUGACAAAGCUGAUAAUAAAUCUAGUUCUUUUACAUCAGAGGUGGAAAAAGUGAUUGCAAUAAUACUGAUAUAUCAAAUCACAUCCACUAGGACUGAAACUCUUGAUGAGAGAACACUCUAGAUCUCAAGGCUGACGUGUUCUGAAUGUCCUUGGUACAGCCCAAGGCUGCUUUGUGCUGCUUUUCAGAGGUGGAGAGAGCCUAACCUAUACAGUAGGAGCAACUUUAGACCAAAAAAAAUUAAUGCUUACCAAUGGUUUCUGUAUUUUUGUGCCAUGAAAACUUCAGUUUGAAAAGCAAGCUGGACCUCAAACUGACUGAAUACUUUCUUUUCAAAGAUGGGUCUGUUAUUACUAAAUUGAGCUAUGCAAUAACUGGAAAAUUCUCAUAAUUUGCUGCAUCACUGUCAGGUUCUCUUUUUGUGCUAUUUUUUCAAGUAGGUGGAAAAAAAUAUAGCCAAGCAGCCUUCUGAUUGCUGAAGUCUUUCUCUCUAUCAUAAACAAGUCACAAAAGGCUCCUACUACAGCUACAUAGAGAGAUGUAAUGAAAAUUAUUAGACGUCCCCUGGGAGGGCCUCCUGCUGGUCUCUAACAGAUACCUUGCAUCCGAGAGACAAAUGCUGCACCCAGGCAAUGUCACCUCUAAAGGCUAAUCCAUUUUUGUCUGUGAGGUCUGCCCUGGAGCUCGUUAACUGAAGUCUCUUAAAAAUCAGAAGGCUGAACUGUGGGCUUUGUGAGGGCAAUGUAUGCACAGUAACUGCUUGGUUUUAUGCCCUUACUGCCCCGUUUCUCUUGGUAACAAUUCUGGGCCUUCCAGCUAAGAUACUGCUGUUUCUCAAACCUCCCACUCAUUCAAAAUCAGAUCUUCUGAGAAACUGCCACUCAUCCUUGGCAGAAAGUUAAUGAAGCCAAUCAUGAACACAAUAUAUCAGAAAUUAGCUGAACAACUGCUUUUUUUCUGGAGUGCAUCUGGUACACCUGCUUCAGUCUGCCUCUUAUGUAUAAAAAUAGGUGAGGUGUAAUCUUGAGGCCCACUUACUGAAAAAAAGAUGGAGAAAGAAAAACUAGCCUGGGAAAUAGCAGGUUCAUUUAUCAGUGCUUGGAAAAUCACUGGAAUAAUCCUUUGGUCAAGUGAGUUGGAUCACGAGAAAGCAGAAAGCAGAAAGGGAGCUCCCAUUUGCAAUGGAAGUAGACUGAACAUAACAGAAGGAUGUCUUUAGCUCUACAAUUUGCAACUGAUUAUGAAGCACACAAGGAUUUCAUUUCCUGUAACAUCACCCAUAAAUCACUGCAUCUUACCAGGAUUAAUUUAUCCAAAUAAUGAUCAGAGACUUCUACAGGCUGCACUCAGGUGACACGCAGCUUUCAGCUGUACAGGAGAGAACCCUGCAGGCCUUGGCAUCUCUAGAGAGUCCUAAAAAUAAAUGUUGAAGUGGAGUGUCUGGGAAGAUUGAUGUACCUGCUGCAGCAAUAUCAAAUAAUGCAUUUACUGUACAAGGUCCUGCCUGCCCAGAAGGCUGAUCUUGACUUACUGCUGCACCUACAUUAAAUUCAGGUUUUUCAUAAGAAGGCCAGAAAACAUUCUGAAAAUCUUCUACUGUUUAAGUAUUGAAAAAAAAAUGCAGGUAGAGACAAGUAGUGCUUUGUGCUGUUACGAUGCAAAUAUUGUAUUGUCAGAGAAGUAGGUAACUACCUUGCUGUUAAACCUUAAAAUACAAAUUCAGAAGCUUUUGCUAAUUCAUCCUUUGUGACUCAUUCUGCAGAGUUCUCAACACUGAUUACUUAGACAUCCUGAGACCAGCCGUGCUUCAUAUAUGUCCUUUGCAAAGUGUUCUACUGAAAUUGCUUACUCGCUAAUUAUUCUAAUCAGAUGACAAUUUCCUGAAUGGCAUUGUUGAAUACCUUGGCUUGUUCACUCACUUUUGUUGCCCAGUGUAACUGCCAUUGCAAUAUGAUGAAAUUUUUUCUUUCCGCUCAAGACUUUUAUGUUUCAUUUCAUGUUUGUAUUACUGAUUUGGAGUCAGCUCUGUUAUUACUGACAGACAUUCAUGUGACUUUUUCCAAGUGAUUUCCAAGCAAAACAUUCUGUGAAGAAGAUUGGCAUAAAUAUUCUUUGCUAUAAGAAAAAGAGUGGGAAAGAGAGAUUUAAUUAUCAAGACUAAAUUGCUGUCUCAGACUUCCAGUGCCUUACAAAUACUCAAAGAAGUCUCUUUAAUUAAAGUAAAAUUAUACUUUAUGUUCAUUUUUUCCUUUUUUUUUUUUUUUUCCUAUGUGUGCUUGUUUGUUUUUCCUGACAGGCUUAUUUCUUUUUCUGUGUACCUGCCAAGAGAAAAAGUUUGUUAGAUGGUUUAUUUAAAAGUAAGCAAGCUUGAUUUUGAAUAAACUGUGAUGAAGUGG
ensembl:lncRNA